CCCGAGGGCUCCGAUGUCGCUGCGCAUGCGUGAGCUGAGAGAAGAUGAGAAAGGAGAACAACUCUCCUUUGCCGGAUGUGACGUCACAUUAUUGUUUGUUUUUUGCUUUUUGAAAUAGCUACUCUCGAACUCAGACACUAUGGUUCGCGCCUCGUUCGCGCGCGCAUUGUGAGCAUUCAAGUUUCGUUUUUUGCACUUGCUUAGUAGCUGAAAUUGCGGACAUUGCAGGGUUGGGCUUGAUGACAUUUGUUGCUCAGCUGCCGCGACACAUUUGGAGCAAAGCUUCUGCUUAUUUCCUUUGGCCGCACCUUAUAUUUGUUGUCUUUGUCAACAUCUGACCUGUUUCUGCCUUGUUGAAAGCAAGUGGCCACAAGUACUGCUUAGUUUGCUCAGUCUAAACCUGGCCACUUCACAACUGCAAGCUGAAUCUGAUGUAGGCAGUGUCAGGGUCAUGGCACAUAUUUUAGUGAACGCCAAGAAUGCGUCCUGUGACUGAAGUUUGAGCAUUUGAGCCCACCUUUUGGAAGUGCUUUUUAUGUGCACUCAGUAAGUGACAGUUAUCCAUGCUUCUUGACAUGAUUUUAAGUGAUCCUAGAGGCAACACUUAUUGAUCUGCAUUAUGCAAAUGUUUUUAUAUUUUCACUAAUAUACUGUGGUCACUAUUACUAUGCACUGUUUAAAAGGUGUUGAAUAUAAAAAGCUACUUAUUUGCCCUAAUAUAAUGUAGAAAUCACGUGGAAAUAAUGUAGGAUCACGUGGAGCAGAGGUAGAAUACCCGGCUUCAAAUCUGAAGGUCGUAAGUUCGAAUCCUACUCCAGUCCACCACAUUUUCAGGCAUGGAGUGGUGCCUGACACCGGCAAGAAAAAAAAUAUAUCGCCGAGACCUAGUGGGGCUAUACUAGUUCAGGUGCAACCAAACUAGGAAGGCCCACUAAGCUUCAUCAAAGUCACUCCCUCACCAGAACAGGAAUUGGCCUCCCUGGUGCAGUAUUCGGCCACUACCUCCCUCAUGACUCCGACAAUUAACCCAUGGCCCUCAGUUCCCAGUGGCUGCGGAGCACCUGACCAAGGCGGCGGUCAGACCUGCUACGCGGCAGAGGGUGCUAAGAAUCUCUGGCUCAAGACAGGCCGCCAAUGGAAACUGAACCUGGCAACGUUCAACACGCGUACCCUAUCGAGUGAGGCUAGCUUAGCAGGACUAUUUGAAGAAUUAUCAGGCAUUUCCUGGGAUAUUAUUGGCCUUAGUGAGGUUAGAAGAACUGGUGAGGCUUACACAGUGCUGACUAACGGCCACGUCCUCUGCUACAGAGGUCUUCCAGAUAAGAAAGAAUCCGAGGUAGGAUUUCUAGUGCAUAACAACAUAGCGGGCAACAUUGAUGAAUUCUACAGCAUUAAUGAGAGGGUAGCAGUCGUCGUAAUAAAGCUGAAUAGGAGGUACAAAAUGAAGGUAGUACAAGCCUAUGCCCCAACUUCUAGUCACGAUGAUGAAGAAUAGAACAGUUUUAUGAAGAUGUUGAACUAGCAAUGAGAAAGGUGCAAACUCAGUAUACUUUAGUCAUGGGCGACUUCAAUGCAAAAGUGGGGAAAAAGCAGGUUGGUGAGCAAGCAAUUGGCAACUAUGGCAUCGAUUCUAGGAAUGCAAGAGGAGAGAUGUUAGUAGAAUUCGCAGAAAGGAAUACGCUCCGAAUAAUGAAUACCUUCUUCAGGAAGCGCAGCAACAGGAAGUGGACUGGAAAAGCCCUAAUGGAGAAACAAGGAAUGAAAUAGAUUUCAUACUCUCUGCCGAUCCAAGCAUAGUGCAGGAUGUAGAAGUGUUAGGUAAGGUUAAGUGCAGUGACCAUAGGUUAGUGAGGUCUAGGAUUUCUCUCAAUUUGAAGAGAGAGAGAGAGUGAAAUUAGUCAAGAGGAAACAGGCCAACCUAGAGGCAGUAAGGGUAAAAGCAGACCAAUUCAGGCUGGUGCUUGCAAACAAAUAUGCAGCUUUAGAAAAGGAAGAUAAAGACAACAUAGAGGUAAUGAAUGAAACUGUAACUAGGCUGAUCUCAGAAGCAGCAAUUGAAGUGGGAGGUAAGGCACCUAGGCAACCAGUAGGUAAGCUCUCCCAAGUAACAAAGGAACUCGUAAAGAAAUUAUAAAAUAAGAAAGUGUCAAACU